CAUAUUUUUACCAUAUCUUGUACUUUUUUUUUUUUCCUGUUUGAGUUAUUGUCUGGAAUCUGCUCCAUUUAGACAGAACUAUUUCCUUUAGUAUUUCAAGAUUGAUUUGUUAGCAGGGAAUUUUCCAUAUUUUAACUUCAUUUUGAAUUCAUAGUUUUGUUGGAUAUAGAAUUCUUGACCAGUGGUUUUUAUUUUUAUUUUUGACAUUUUGCAUAUAUUCUCCCACUGCCUUCUGGCCUGUGUUGUUUUUAGUAAGUCAGCUUCUAAUCUUAUUGAUGUUCCCAUGUAAUGCGGAAAGUCAGGGAAUUUUAAGGUUUCCCUCCUUCUCUCUCUCUUUUUACUUGUUUAUUUAUUUAUUUAUUUAUUUUUUUUGGCUUCCAGCAGUUUGGCUUUGAUGUACCUGUAUGUGCAUCUCUUUGUAUUUAUCUUAUUUUGCAUUCAUUGAUAUCCUUGGGUUUGUUUGUUUGUCGUCUUAAGAAGUUUUUCCUUCAAAUACCUAUUCUUCCCUUUCUCCUCUUCACUCUUUCUGAGACUCCUAUCCUGCACGUACUUUUGUACAUUUGAUUUUGUCCUGUCGAUCUCUCGGGCUGUAGUUCUGUUCUUUCCUCUUCUUCAGAUUGAGUAUUCCUCAUUUCCACUAUCUUCAGCUGUAGGAAUUCUAUAUUUUACCAUCUCGUAUCUGCUUUUGAUCGACUCUAGUGAAUUUUUCAUUAGUCAAGUAUUUCCAUUUUCCCCUUUUGUGUAAUUUCUCUUUGUUGAGAUUCUGUUUUCAUUGAAUUAUUGAUAUCAUGCCUUUGUAUAAUUCUUUAACUGUGGUUUCCUGUAGUUUUUUGAAGAUAUUUAUAAUUGUUACUUUGAAGUGAUUUGCUCCUAAAUCUAGUAUCUGGCACUCUGAGAGAUAAUUUUCUAUCAAAUGGUUUUUGUUUUUUUGUAUUGUGCAAUCUGUGUCCUUCAUAAUGUGAGAAUGCCUGUAUCUCUUCUCAUCUUUUUUUUUCUUGUUUUUAUGUAAUAGCUUAGGGGUCAUCCCUUUAUCUACACUGUUUAUUAUUCAGUCAUUGUUUUGUUAGAAGUCCUGCUUGAACUUUUUGAGGUGAUAAGGCUUUUUACUCAUUGCUAAUGAAUCUGUUUGUGGGCUGGUGUGCGCCCCGUGUUCUGGCUCUUCUAAAAUCUGCCCCCUUUUUACUUCUUUAUUUUAUCUAGUGUCUUUUCUGUGCAUUUGGGUCUACUUCAGUCUCGUCUAUGUGUGUACCCAGCCUUACUUAGGCCGACUUAGCUUAUGUGAAGAGCCUGUCAGACGCCGUUUGCCUGUCCCACCUGUAACUUUGUGUUAUAACCUCCUGCCUAGCCCCUCUGCCUGUUGCUCGUUUUAAAUCCGGUCCUAACCUGAGGUGUGCUGAGCUUUUGGUCACCCUCUUCUGGUGCCACUGGGAUUGCCCUUUGUCUGGCAGCAUUGCCAGUGAAGUGAACCCACUUCUGCAAUGGCAGAAAAGCGUGUGGUUUUCGUAGCCUCUCGGCCCUAUUUGAACUACUGUGUUGACAGGGCUUUGGUGGAUGGAAGUACACGGGUAAAAUAGCACAGAAUCCUGAUGUUUUCCACUGAAGUGCCAUAUUUUUCACAAAUACAUGCUUAGCAGUUCUUGGUAUCCUUUCCUUUGGUUUCCACAGUGCUGAUACGGUUGUUUUUGCCAGUUUUGUGUAAAUUUAUAUGAGGAUUUCUUGACCUCCUCACUCUCAUACUGAUGUGAAUUUUUGAUAUUCUCUCUUGCUGAUUUUUUUUUUUUAAUAGAUCUUCUAACUCGUCUCCCAGGUUUCAUCUUUGCCAUCCCUGUAUUCUUGUAUGCAGGUAGGAACCAUGCCUUAAGUGUUCUGAAUGUUUGGAUGUGUUAAAACACAGGUGAGGUGAUGGAGUCUUUGCUUAAAGCCCUCAGUAUCUUCGUGUCUCACUCACAGUAGAAGAUAAAGGUGAGCGCUAGGCCUUCCAUGAGAUUUCUCCUGUUAUCUUUCCGGCCUUUUCUCCCUUCAUGCGGCUUCUUUUACAACAGUUUCUUUGCAAUUCCUCUAAAAUACCAUGUAUUUUCCUCUGUCAGAUCCCAUGCACUUGCUCUGCUUCUUCUGGAGGAGUGCUUUUCCUUUAGAUUCUCAUAGUUCACAGCCGCCGCUAAAAGGUUACCUUCUUUUUUAUUUUUUUCAUUUUCUUAGAGAGAGAGAGAGAGAGAGAUCAUGAGCAGGGGAGGGGCAGAGAAAGGGAGAGAAAGAAUCCCAAGCAGGCUCUGCACUGUCAGCACAGAGCCUGAUGUAGGGCGUGAGCUCACAGACUAUGAGAUCGUGACCUGAGCCAAAAUCAAGAGUUGGAGGGCACUUGUUGGGAUGAGCACUGGGUGUUGUAUGUAAGCCAGUUUGAUAGUAAAUUAUAUUAAAAAAUAAACAAACAAAAAAAAGAGUUGGAUGCUCAACUGACUGAGCCACACAGGCGCCCCCUGAAAGGUUACCUUCUUAGCAAAGCUCUCCCCUACCAUUUUGUAAAAUCACAAGUUCUCAACCAACGUUUUCUUUCAUAUACACCUAAGUGUCACUUCGUAAUUUUUCUCCAUAGCACUUAUUACCAUCUGUUAUAUCAUAAAUUGACUCAUUUAUUCACUAUCUACCCUACUAUAUAGUAUAAGCUACAAUAAUUCAGAGAUUUUGUUUACUUUGUUUUCCAAGGUCAAAACUGUCUUCCACAAACACAGUUUAGGCAACCAUUAGAUAUUUCUCGAAUGAAUGGGCACAAGGUGUCUGCAUUCUAGCUUUUCAUCCCAGGUAGAAAGAUCUGAAAGGAUAUUGCAUGACACACAGCUUUUUUUGGUCUACAUACAGACUCAGUGAGAGAGACCUAUCACGUGGUAAGUACAGUAUUUGAUGUGCCUGCCCAAUGUGUUUCCAAGAUGGAUUUGGCAUAGUUUUGCUUGCAGAAAUCUAAGAAUGUUUCAUUCACAAGGAGAGCUUUGAUCUAGGCAAAGCAAGAGUAGAAAUAUGGUGAGGGGUAAAGGGAGACAAGGAAAAAAUUAUGAAAGUGUCUGUCCAAGAAAUGUUGAUUUAAUUGUGGCCAUCCUUGAGUGGGAUGUAGAGA